rnacentral:rRNA from 1 species
UACGGAGGGGGGCUAGCGUUGUUCGGAAUUACUGGGCGUAAAGCGCACGUAGGCGGCUUUUGUAAGUUAGAGGUGAAAAGCCCCGGGGCUCAACUCCGGAAUUGCCUUUAAGACUGCAUCGCUAGAAUUGUGGAGAGGUAAGUGGAAUUCCGAGUGUAGAGGUGAAAUUCGUAGAUAUUCGGAAGAACACCAGUGGCGAAGGCGACUUACUGGACACAUAUUGACGCUGAGGUGCGAAAGCGUGGGGAGCAAACAGG